UACGUAGGGUGCAAGCGUUAAUCGGAAUUACUGGGCGUAGAGCGUGCGCAGGCGGUUUUGUAAGACAGAUGUGAAAUGCCCGGGCUUAACCUGGGAACUGCAUUUGUGACUGCAAGGCUAGAGUGUGUCAGAGGGGGGUAGAAUUCCACGUGUAGCAGUGAAAUGCGUAGAGAUGUGGAGGAAUACCGAUGGCGAAGGCAGCCCCCUGGGAUAACACUGACGCUGAGGCACGAAAGCCAGGGGAGCAAACGGG
rnacentral:rRNA from 1 species